CCCACAAACAGGAAUUACAAUUGCCUGACCGCAAAAAUGAAAGAUAAUAUGAUAAACUUCCAUCAACUACUCCAAAAUGUGAACUGAAAAAUCUUUCAAUCUCUUUCUCCCAAGCACCAUAUUCUUAUGACACCAAGUAGAUAACCGAUAUAUGGCAUUACAUGCCAGUCUCUGACAUUUUGGACAAUAAAUACAAGAACAGCAUGACAUAUUGACAUAGGAUAAAAAAUAAUCAAGCACUAUCAAACAUAGUUAGGAGAAGAUGGUUGGUCAACAAUCAACCAUGAUAUUUUAAAAAAAAAUAAAACACUUUUGGACAAGUUAAAAUCAAUAGCUUUCAAG
rnacentral:misc_RNA from 1 species